rnacentral:rRNA from 1 species
UCUGUAGGCUGAUGAAGGUGCAUUGAGAAGUGUGCUGGAGGUAUCAGAAGUGCGAAUGCUGACAUGAGUAACGAUAAUGUGGGUGAAAAGCCCACACGCCGGAAGUCCCAGGUUUCCUGCACGACGUUAAUCGGAGCAGGGUGAGUCGGCCCCUAAGGCGAGGCUGAAGAGCGUAGUCGAUGGGAACCAGGUUAAUAUUCCUGGACUUUUUAUAAGUGGUGAAGUGGGGACGAAGAAGGCUAGGUGAGCCAGGCGUUGGUUGUCCUGGUACUUGCAUGUAGGGGGGAAGACUUGGCAAAUCCGGUUUUCCAUAACUCUGAGGUGCGAAGUGGUUCUGACCUUUUGGUACAGAGAAGUCAUUGAUGCCCGGCUUCCAGGAAAAGCUGCUAGCCAUAACUUAUAGAGAACCGUACCGCAAACCGACACAGGUGGACAGGUAGAGAAUACUAAGGCGCUUGAGAGAACUCGGGUGAAGGAACUAGGCAAAAUGGUACCGUAACUUCGGGAGAAGGUACGCCCUUUUGGGUGAGGGCAUUUACUGUCUGAGCUUAAGAGGGCCGCAGAGACCAGGUGGCUGCGACUGUUUAUUAAAAACACAGCACUCUGCAAAUUCGUAAGAAGACGUAUAGGGUGUGACGCCUGCCCGGUGCCGGAAGGUUAAUUGAUGGGGUUAUCUUCGGAGAAGCUCUUGAUCGAAGCCCCGGUAAACGGCGGCCGUAACUAUAACGGUCCUAAGGUAGCGAAAUUCCUUGUCGGGUAAGUUCCGACCUGCACGAAUGGCGUAACGAUGGCCACACUGUCUCCACCCGAGACUCAGUGAAAUUGAAAUCGCUGUGAAGAUGCAGUGUACCCGCGGCUAGACGGAAAGACCCCGUGAACCUUUACUAUAGUUUUGCACUGGACUUUGAUGAUGACUGUGUAGGAUAGGUGGGAGGCUGUGAAGUGAGGACGCUAGUUCUCAUGGAGCCGCCCUUGAAAUACCACCCUGUUGUUAUUGAGGUUCUAACUUGGUCCAGUAAUCCUGGAUGAGGACAGUGUAUGAUGGGUAGUUUGACUGGGGCGGUCUCCUCCCAAAGAGUAACGGAGGAGCACAAAGGUACCCUCGGUACGGUCGGACAUCGUACCAAGAGUGUAAAGGCAAAAGGGUGCUUGACUGCGAGAGUGACGGCUCGAGCAGGAACGAAAGUUGGUCUUAGUGAUCCGGUGGUUCUGAAUGGAAGGGCCAUCGCUCAACGGAUAAAAGGUACUCCGGGGAUAACAGGCUGAUACCGCCCAAGAGUUCAUAUCGACGGCGGUGUUUGGCACCUCGAUGUCGGCUCAUCACAUCCUGGGGCUGAAGCAGGUCCCAAGGGUAUGGCUGUUCGCCAUUUAAAGUGGUACGCGAGCUGGGUUUAGAACGUCGUGAGACAGUUCGGUCCCUAUCUGCCGUGGGCGUAGGAAAAUUGAGAGGAGCUGCUCCUAGUACGAGAGGACCGGAGUGGACGAACCUCUGGUGCACCGGUUGUCACGCCAGUGGCAUGGCCGGGUAGCUAAGUUCGGACGGGAUAACCGCUGAAAGCAUCUAAGCGGGAAGCCUCCCUCAAGAUGAGUUUUCCCAUGAAGCCCGUUGAAGACUACGACGUUGAUAGGCAAGGUGUGGAAGCGCAGUAAUGCGUGAAGCUAACUUGUACUAAUUGGCUGAUUGUCUUGACCAU